UACAACGAUUUUCUUUUCCCUUCCUUUCCCUCCAGUGGCUUAACGAAGCAAGAAUUAUUCAGAGACUUGUGGAGCUGAUCCAUUCAAGCCAGGAUGAGGAUAGGCAAUCAAACGCUUCCCAGACCCUGUGUGAUAUCAUAAGAUUGAGCAGAGACCAGAGCAAUCAGCUGCAGGACAUACCUGAGCCUGAUCCACUUCUCACCGCACUGGAAUCGCAGGAAUGUGUGGAGCAACUCCUGAAGAAUAUGUUUGAUGGAGAGCAGACUGAGAAUUGCAUAGUGAAUGGAACGCAGGUUCUGCUGACAUUGCUGGAAACCAGGCGCUCUGGGGUGGAAGGACUGAUGGACUCAUACACUCAGGGAUUUGAAAGGUCUUACACUGUCAAUAGCAGCAUCUUACAUGGCAUUGAACCGAGGCUAAAAGAUUUCCACCAGCUGCUGCUCAGCCCUCCCAAGGUAACACAGCUCAGCCUUCCUCAGGAGCAAACAGCUGCUGGCUGCACGUGGGGGUUUCCUCAUCCUUACUCGUGGGCUUUGUGGUUUUUUUCUGAAAGCACCACGUGCUGGCCAAGCAAACUCUACCAAAAAUCUUGU